UACGUAGGUGGCAAGCGUUGUUCGGAAUUACUGGGCGUAAAGGGCGCGUAGGCGGUCUUGCAAGUCCCGUGUGAAAUCCCUCGGCUCAACUGAGGAACUGCACGGGAAACUGCUUGGCUUGAGUUCGGGAGAGGGAAGCGGAAUUCCGGGUGUAGCGGUGAAAUGCGUAGAUAUCCGGAGGAACACCGGUGGCGAAGGCGGCUUCCUGGACCGACACUGACGCUGAGGCGCGAAAGCUAGGGGAGCAAACGGG
rnacentral:rRNA from 1 species